CAUCUAAACCAUUUCUUUGACCUAACAUGGUGUGAUAGGUGGGAGGAGGCCAGAAAGGAUGUCAUACAGGGUACUUACCUCCUUCAAUGAGUCCAUUUUGAUUGCAGAUCUGAAGACAUUUCUUCAAAAUGGCAAGUGAGUGAUUUAUGCAGAGGUUAAUCACCUGAGGAAAGAAUGCGUUUUAACUUCACAAAAUUCAGAUGCAGGUGAUCAGAUCACCUAUGCUGAGGUGAAAGUGAAAUGGAAAUCUGACAACACCAACAGUACAUCCAGGUCUACACAUACAACAGUGGCCUGCUAUGAGAGCAAACACUGGUGUUACAUUGCCAUCAUCCUGUACUUUGUUGCAGUGAUUCUGCUCAUCUGUGUGAUCCUUUUAGCUGUGAAAUGUAAUAAUUCCUGAGGCAGAUGGUGCAGUCCAGUUAACAGAGUAAGACAUUUUUAUCCUUAUUUGUAUUUUCAUACAAUAUGUUCACAUUUAUCAGAAGAGGUGCAAGGAAGCAUUCUACCCAUAUGAUAAAGUCUCUGCCACACAUUCAGCCAGCCAUCAACUCACAAUCACACUCGAUAAAAUCUAGCUUCUUGCUGCUGAUGCACAGUGCACUUAACUGGGCACAUUUUAAUACCCAAGAGCUUUGGCAGAACUGCCUGUCAGAGCAAGUCUUGCAUCUGCUUCAUCACUUAACCAUAGCUGUCUCCCAGCUGUGGAGGGAAAUAACCCCACCAGCAGGCCAUGAAGUGAAAAAAAAAAUAAAAAAUGGCUGGUGCAGUUAGAGGUGAUUCCCACAACUGCUGUCCAGGUGGACAUUAACAGGGAUGUGAAGUGGCAUGAGACAAACAAGACGUGUUUAUCAGUCUGGGGUUUGAAAGAAACCAGAAGAACAAUUGUCCAAUUCAGACUAGGAAUGGCAGGGAACAGCCCUCCAGAGAAAAUCCUCCCGUUCACAUCCAGUGCUCCUAGAGCCCUCUGUGGGUAGCUUUGAAAAGGCAAUGCCUCCUCUGGGCCAGAGCGGCUGACAUGGUACACGUGGAGGGAAAGAUACAAACAUUGUGCCUGUCUCAUGUUAGAGCUUUUGGGAGAUAUUUUGGGAAAUCUUUUAGUAAAAGAACACUGCAUGGAAAACAGACCUGGU